AUUGAACGCUGGCGGCAGGCCUAACACAUGCAAGUCGAGCGGAUGAAGGGAGCUUGCUCCUGGAUUCAGCGGCGGACGGGUGAGUAAUGCCUAGGAAUCUGCCUGGUAGUGGGGGAUAACGUCCGGAAACGGGCGCUAAUACCGCAUACGUCCUGAGGGAGAAAGUGGGGGAUCUUCGGACCUCACGCUAUCAGAUGAGCCUAGGUCGGAUUAGCUAGUUGGUGGGGUAAAGGCCUACCAAGGCGACAAUCCGUAACUGGUCUGAGAGGAUGAUCAGUCACACUGGAACUGAGACACGGUCCAGACUCCUACGGGAGGCAGCAGUGGGGAAUAUUGGACAAUGGGCGAAAGCCUGAUCCAGCCAUGCCGCGUGUGUGAAGAAGGUCUUCGGAUUGUAAAGCACUUUAAGUUUGGAGGAAGGGCAGUAAGUUAAUACCUUGCUGUUUUGACGUUACCAACAGAAUAAGCACCGGCUAACUUCGUG
rnacentral:rRNA from 1 species